rnacentral:rRNA from 1 species
GACGAACGCUGGCGGCGUGCUUAACACAUGCAAGUCGAACGAAGUGGCGAACGGGUGAGUAAUACGUGAGUAACCUGCCCUCCUUUUUGGGAUAAGCCUUGGAAACGGGGUCUAAUACCGAAUAAAGGGGGAAGGGCUCGCGGCCUAUCAGCUUGUUGGUGGGGUGAUGGCCUCCCAAGGCGGUGACGGGUAGCCGGCCUGAGAGGGUGACCGGGCAACUUGGGAAUGAGAUACGGCCCAGAGUGUAACGGAAGGAAGGAGUGGGGUAUAUUGCGCAAUAGGCGACAGCCUGAUGCAGCGACGCCGCGUGGGGGAUGAAGGCUUGCGGGUUGUAAACAUCUUUCGCUAUCGAAAGGGUAGGUGGAGAAGAAGCGCCGGCUAACUACGUGCCAGCAGCCGCGGUAAUAC